rnacentral:rRNA from 1 species
GAUGAACGCUGGCGGCGUGCCUAAUACAUGCAAGUCGAGCGAACAGACGAGGAGCUUGCUCCUCUGACGUUAGCGGCGGACGGGUGAGUAACACGUGGAUAACCUACCUAUAAGACUGGGAUAACUUCGGGAAACCGGAGCUAAUACCGGAUAGUAUAUUGAACCGCAUGGUUCAAUAGUGAAAGACGGUUUUGCUGUCACUUAUAGAUGGAUCCGCGCCGCAUUAGCUAGUUGGUAAGGUAACGGCUUACCAAGGCGACGAUGCGUAGCCGACCUGAGAGGGUGAUCGGCCACACUGGAACUGAGACACGGUCCAGACUCCUACGGGAGGCAGCAGUAGGGAAUCUUCCGCAAUGGGCGAAAGCCUGACGGAGCAACGCCGCGUGAGUGAUGAAGGUCUUCGGAUCGUAAAACUCUGUUAUUAGGGAAGAACAAAUGUGUAAGUAACUAUGCACGUCUUGACGGUACCUAAUCAGAAAGCCACGGCUAACUACGUG